rnacentral:rRNA from 1 species
GACGAACGCUGGCGGCGUGCUUAACACAUGCAAGUCGAACGGAAAGGCCCUGCUUUUGUGGGGUGCUCGAGUGGCGAACGGGUGAGUAACACGUGAGUAACCUGCCCUUGACUUUGGGAUAACUUCAGGAAACUGGGGCUAAUACCGGAGAGGAGCUCCUGCUGCAUGGUGGGGGUUGGAAAGUUCCGGCGGUUGGGGAUGGACUCGCGGCUUAUCAGCUUGUUGGUGGGGUAGUGGCCUACCAAGGCUUUGACGGGUAGUCGGCCUGAGAGGGGGACCGGCCACAAUGGGACUGAGAGACGGCCCAGACUCCAACGGGAGGCAGCAGUGGAGAAUAUUACACAAUGAGCGGAAGCCUGAUGCAGAAACGCCGCGUGCGGGAUGACGUCCUUCGGGUUGUAAACCGCUGUCGCCUGAGACGAAGCGUGAGUGACGGUAAUGGGUAAAGAAGCACCGGCUAACUACGUG